rnacentral:rRNA from 1 species
UACGUAGGUGGCAAGCGUUGUCCGGAUUUACUGGGCGUAAAGGGUGCGUAGGCGGCCAUUUAAGUCAGAUGUGAAAUACCCGAGCUCAACUUGGGUGCUGCAUUUGAAACUGGGUGUCUAGAGUGCAGGAGAGGAAAGCGGAAUUCCUAGUGUAGCGGUGAAAUGCGUAGAGAUUAGGAAGAACACCAGUGGCGAAGGCGGCUUUCUGGACUGUAACUGACGCUGAGGCAUGAAAGCGUGGGGAGCAAACAGG